UAUCUCUGUAGAGUCUGCAUAUCAAUAAGCGGAGGAAAAGAAACUAACUAGGAUUCCCUAGUAACGGCGAGUGAAGCGGGAAGAGCUCAAAUUUGAAAUCUUCAAGGUUUUACCUUGACGAAUUGUAGUUUAAAGAAGUGUUUUCUGUUGGUGUUUUGGUAAAAGUUCUUUGGAAUAGGACAUCAUAGAGGGUGAGAAUCCCGUAUUUGACCAUUGCUUCCAGCGUUGUGAUACACUUUCAAAGAGUCGGAUUGUUUGGGAAUGCAGUCCAAAAUGGGUGGUAAAUUUCAUCUGAAGCUAAAUAUUGGCGAGAGGACCGAUAGCGAACAAGUACCGUGAGGGAAAGAUGAAAAGAACUUUGAAAAGAGAGUUAAACAGUACGUGAAAUUGUCAAAAGGGAAGCGUUUGACACCAGUGUUGUUUUCUCGAAAAUCAAUUAAAAAGUGUUAGGAUUUUGUGUUGUAUUGACUUUAUCAGCUUUCUGCACUCUUUUCCUGUCUUUUUUAAUGCACUUUUCGUUUAACAAGUCAACAUCAAUUUCUUUUGUUGUAAAAGAGGUCAUUGGAAGGUGGCUUUCUUUUCGGAGAAAGUGUUUAUAGCCUUUGGCCUUCUGCAAUCGGAGAGAUUGAGGUCUGCAGCGUAGAUCCUUCGGGGUUAGAUACAUUUGUGCUAAGUUAUAGCCUUUCAUAGACAACUUGUUGACUAUGAUCAGUCAUGUAGCUUACUCGCUUAUGCUAUUUUACCUACGCUUAGGAUGUUGAGUCAUCACACAUCUCU
rnacentral:rRNA from 1 species